rnacentral:rRNA from 1 species
GACGAACGCUGGCGGCGUGCUUAACACAUGCAAGUCGACAUGAGUAGCGAACGGGUAAGUAAUACGUGGGUAACCUGCCCUCCUUUUUGGGAUAAGCCUUGGAAACGUGGUCUAAUACCGAAUAAAGGGGGAUGGGCGCGCGGCCUAUCAGGUUGUUGGGGGGGUGAUGGCCUACCAAGGCGGUGAAGGGCAGCCGGCCUGGGAGGGGGACCGGGCACAUUGGGACGGGGAUACGGCCCAGACUUCUACGGGAGGGAGGAGGGGGGGAUAAUGCACAAUGGGGGAAAGGCUGAUGCAGCGACGGCGCGGGGGGGAUGAAGGCUUUCGGGUUGUAAAACUUUUUUGCUAUCGAACGGGUAGGUGGAGAAGAAGCGCCGGCUAACUACGUGCCAGCAGCCGCGGUAAUAC